rnacentral:rRNA from 1 species
GAUGAACGCUGGCGGCGUGCCUAAUACAUGCAAGUCGAGCGAACAGACGAGGAGCUUGCUCCUCUGACGUUAGCGGCGGACGGGUGAGUAACACGUGGAUAACCUACCUAUAAGACUGGGAUAACUUCGGGAAACCGGAGCUAAUACCGGAUAAUAUAUUUAACCGCAUGGUUCAAUAGUGAAAGACGGUUUUGCUGUCACUUAUAGAUGGAUCCGCGCCGCAUUAGCUAGUUGGUAAGGUAACGGCUUACCAAGGCAACGAUGCGUAGCCGACCUGAGAGGGUGAUCGGCAACACUGGAACUGAGACACGGUCCAGACUCCUACGGGAGGCAGCAGUAGGGAAUCUUCCGCAAUGGGCGAAAGCCUGACGGAGCAACGCCGCGUGAGUGAUGAAGGUCUUCGGAUCGUAAAACUCUGUUAUUAGGGAAGAACAAAUGUGUAAGUAACUAUGCACGUCUUGACGGUACCUAAUCAGAAAGCCACGGCUAACUACGUG